rnacentral:lncRNA from 1 species
UCUCCCACACUUGUAAUGAUGUAGCCCCAAAUAGAGAGCCUUGUACGAGACAAUCCUAGGGAUUGUGUGCAAGGUUCUCGGAGAUCGUACCAGACAGUCCUUGAGACUGUGUGCGAUCUAAGCAGCGACACUUUGAUUCGUAUUGAAUAUUUUCUUUUUGUUCUUAUGGAUUGUUCUUAUUUUCCGCAUUCGAUUAAUCCUAGAGUGAUAUCACGGGUUGUUCGGGACUAACAAGUGGUAUCAGAGCCAUUGAAGUCUUUCAAAGGCUCGGUUUUGAUAUCACUCGAAGAACAAGAAGAAGUUUUGAUAAGUGUCGGGGUUGUAUGUUUGUCGAAGGAAAGUUCUCCGGUUCGUAAGAUGUAGUAUUUCAUUCACAGAUUUGAAAAACUUUAAGAUCUGAUUGUGCUUUUGGUUCAUCCAACUACACACUACUGAAGUGUGUGUUGUAGAUGUUUCAGCCGCCAAACGCUCUGCUUCUUGUUCUACAACAGUCGCCGGAGUUUGGUGGUGAACGGAGUAGUGAUAGAGAUAAGUUAACAGUGAUCGGAUAUAAUAAACAAAGAUGUUGCAGGUGAAAGAUGAUCAGAUGUCGAUGAUGAAGAGUAAUAGAGUGAAGGUGUAGAAGAUGGAGUACGGUGGUGAUGUGUUCAUCGGACAUGGUGGUACGGUAUUCAGUGAUCGGAGACUGUUAUGGUGUAAACUAGAAACGGAGAUGAAGCGAGUGCGAUGUCGGAGAAGAGAAGGUUGAUGGUACAGUCGCCGGUGAAGAUGGAUGAUACGUUGAUCGGAGGACAGACGAGAUGGAAGGGAUGACCGGAACCAAAGACGAUGGUCGGUUUACGGUGUUUGUAUGGAGUGAUCGGUAGAGACGGAGGGUGUUAGAGGUGACGGCGGAAGAAUCGGAGAUUUUACGGUGAAGCGGUGGUGGUCGUCGGUGAAUACGUUUGUCGGAGUGGUGAAGAAGAUGGUCGUCGAACAGAGGAGAGGGAUGUCGUUGAUGGUGUCUGCCGGAAUGAUUUGAAGAAGAUGAUCGGUGUACGGUGGUCGAUGGAGGGUAUCGAAUGAUGCGACGAAGAUGAUCUACUGUUUUCUGUUGAAAAUGAUGAUAAUUUUGUUAAUGAGUGGUGAACAUGGAUAGAAUAAUAUGAUUUCGGAUGAUGUUACUGUGAUUUCCGAUGAUGAUGCCAUCAUCAGCAAAGAAUGAUUGGGGGAAUGUUUGUUGGCGGCUGCACAUGAUUUCUCCAAAACCCUAGUAAUUAUGAGCCAUCAGAUGGGUGAGAGAUCAACGGUCAAAAGGCUAGGACAUUGUUUGUGAAUUUUAUGCAACAAUUUUGUGGGGCAAGUGUGGGAUUCGAUGUAGAGCUGUGUAAUGGAUAAAAGUAUACGGCUCGAAGCUUCUAAGGAGGAUUGAUCAUUUAUUUUGAGUAGGAGCCCAGGUAUCAAUGAUAAAGAGUCUAAUUAUGUUGGGCCAGCUGAUCAAGCUAAGGCCCAAAAAUGUUGUGAAUUAUGGUCCGUAAAAUAGCAUGGGUGGAUCUGAAUCUUAAGAUGUUGAGAUUAUUGGUACGAAAUUUUGGAACAAAAUUUUGAAACGAGGAAUUUUGUUCAUCAUUUUCGAUGGGAUGGUUUUUAAAUAUUAAGGGGCAAGGCUCAGCAAUUAUUUUGGGUUAAGGUUCUAUGGAAUUUCCAUUGGUUCCAGUGCAAACUUGUGUUUUUGCGCGACUUGAAUACCAGACGGAUCACUUUGAAUCCGUGUGUUCUUGUUAGUGAAUCAAAUUUGAAAUUUCUUCCGAGAUCAUAUAUUUUCACUCGAGAUCAUUGUUCUUCAUCCUCAUCCUCGAUACAUUGAAUUUUAUCCGAGACGCAUCAGAAGUCCUCCGCCACUCGUCCGACAUCAUAAUUAUCAUCACAUUUCAUCCGAGAUACGCUGCUGGACUUGUUCACUGCUGGGCCACUAAAGGGAGAAGACCCAAAACUGGAGAACCUCUAAACCGUAAUAAAGAUAGCAUAAAACUAGGGGGAGAUUGUUAGGUCCAAAAGUUUUAUGCUUUAUCUUUAUUAUAUUUAUUAUAUUUAUUUGGUUUAGAUUAGUUUUGGGCUUGGGCUAGGCCAUGUGGGCCAAUAGGGUAGAGGCUCCUAUAAUGUAACAACCCAUAAUUAUCGACUCCUAAUUACGUGAUUAACGAACGUUUAAGGCGAUAAUAAAUAGUGUUUAAGGUACGUAUUAACUUAAUUAUGCCUUUGGAGUGCCUAGGAACAUCCAUUCGGCUUUAC